UUUUUUUUUUCUUUUUUUUUUUGUCGAAUGGAAGCCCACAUAUCAGCAAUAAAACUGAUAGUACAGAGGCACUUACAAAAUAGCCAGUGCCCAUUUAAUUUGUACACAAGAUAGACCUCUAUGUUUCAUCAGGUUAGGCCUUAGUUUUCACGAACUAUUGCUAUGCCUCGUUCACAGUAGGGACAAAGCACAAAAAGUCAAAAAAACUAUGGCCUAUAAAAGCAUCUAUUAAACCAUUUUUAUUUAGUUUAACAGUUUGUUGAGUACAUAUUUCACCGGGUCUAAUGGCUGCUAAUACUGAUCUACCCCCAGGCGUGGACAAAGAGCAGGUUUUUGGCAUGCUAGCUAUGGAGAUGGAGUAUAAGGUAGAGCUGUUUAACAGGUAGCUCCAUGUGGUUGUAAAUAUCACAACCAGCCGUUAACAUUUUCUUCUUUGAUAGUGUGCUUGAUAAAUUAUGUACUUGAUUCGCAGAAAUAUGUGAAGGUUAGAGCUUUCUAUUUCGGUUAUGUAUUUUUACAAAAUUUUGUAAUAUUUUUGUAGGUUCCCAGAUAGAAAUACUGAAUUUUCUCUGUUCUGACUAUUUAUUUUCUGUUAAUUCAGGCUUGCUAUGGCAUGUUUCAACAAGUGUGUUGAUAAGAGGUAAGAUAUAAUUGCUUUUAUGUAGAAAUCCUUGUGGAAUUGGUGCGGCUCUGAUCCAAAAAAAAUCAGAGGUUAUAUGUUGUUUUGAAAAUAAACCUUUUCAACAUCGAUUUUUAUGCUUCUUGUUUUCAGGUACAAGGAACCUGAGCUAACUAUGGGUGAAAACAGUUGCAUUGACCGCUGUGUUUCAAAAUAUUUUCUGGUACGCUAUUUACCAUUUUUCACUAAUGGUUUUAAUUUACACCAGUGCUGUAAUUGAGCCAAGUUGAAUAUAGAAGGCAGAAUUUGAACUUAUUAGCAUGGUGAAAAAGGAUCCAUAUCGCCAACCUUAUUAUUUAGGGAUUAAGACUUGGUUGUUAUUGUUGCUGUUGGGAUUUCUUUUGAAUCAAGAUUUCUGUUGUCUUUUGAUUUGGGAUUUCUUUCUGUUUAGUUUCUAUCUCGCCAUGAGAUAAUUUUUUUUUGUAAUUCUUUACAAGUGCUGAAGAUGAAAAGCAAUUUCGAUGCCAUGCAUUAUCUAUUUGGGAUGGAGAAUUUCGUGUGGUUGGGCACCAAUUUUUACUUGUUGAGAUUAAGAUUUUCUCUGUCUGCUCUGACCCUAGAGAACAAACUGAAUUAUUGAAUCAAAUCUAUUCGAUUGGGUUCGGUUUUUAUUUAAAUCAGUUUUGGUGUGGUUCUGUAUUUUGUAAAAUUCAGCCGAACCGACCAUUUGCUUACCCCUACUUGUAACCAUUCUAUAUGGUUACGGGAGUUUUUGCUAAAACAAUCCUAUUAGUUGCUUAUUUGUUUUUACGUUCAUUGUUACUGUUUUAUAAGUUGAACUGCUAAAGAUAAUAAUGCAUGCACAAGGCCAUUUAUUGAUGGUUUUAUGAGGAAAGCUCCGUUUGGUUUUGCAGGUGAAUGGUAUAAUCGGCCAGAUGCUUAGUGCGGGUCAGCGUCCAAUGUGAAUUCAUACUUGUUAUAAUUUGGAAUUUUUGUUCUGAAUGAAAACAUGCUGUUAAGUAGGACAGGGGAAGGAGACUGAAACUGUGUACUGUGUUAUAUUCUAUCAUGUGCCUCCAAUCCAUGAGGUCAUUCUGUUUUGCUCCAGAUUUAACAACAGUAUUGGCGCUUUAAAAUUUUUAACCCCAGUAAUGAGUAUUUCUUUUGUGAUAUAUUAUAAUGAUUAAUAUUAUUUAUCAUAUGUUUGUG
rnacentral:misc_RNA from 1 species